CGGGCACAGCGGGAAGCCAGGUGGUGACACCGAGCAGAACCCGAAAGCCGUUCUCAGUUCGGAUCGGAGUCUGCAACCCGACUCCGUGAAGCUGGAUUCGCUAGUAAUCGCGCAUCAGCCAUGGCGCGGUGAAUACGUUCCCGGGCCUUGUACACACCGCCCGUCAAGCCAUGGAAGCCGGGGGCGCUUGAAGUGCGUUGCCGCAAGGCGCGCCCUAGAGCGAAACCGGUGACUGGGGCUAAGUCGUAACAAGGUAUC
rnacentral:rRNA from 1 species